AGAUAUAUAAUGUUAAUAAAUUUCGUACUCCAUGGAAAAAAAUGUCUUCCGUAGUUGAAAUUUGCUCGAGUUGAGGGGAUGUGGGAAGCAUUAUUUUUCUGUGCAAACCAAAGGUCAAUUACAACAGAUGACUGAGAAGUUUUGAAACAGCAAAAUGGCAACUGAUGAUCAGACUCUAGAGGAGGUCGAUGUUCAUAUUCAGGAGAACCUAGAAGAUGACAUAAUAAAGGAAGCUCUUAAAUCUGGUAUGGACCUUCGGCAGUACUCCCGCCAAGUGGAAAAGGAACUGAAAGAAGUAGAAAAUGCUUCAAUUCAAGAUUAUAUACAAGAAAGUCAGAACAUUGCCAGUCUUCACAAUCAGAUUGCAGCCUGUGACGGAAUACUUGAGAGAAUGGAACAGAUGUUAAGAACAUUCCAAGAAGACCUAGGUAGUAUUAGUCAUGAGAUUCUAACACUACAAGAACAGUCAGUGUCCAUGAACAUACGGCUCAAAAAUCGACAGGCAAUUCGAGGUGAACUAAGUCAGUUUGUGGAUGAUAUGGUGGUUCCUGAUGUUUUGAUAAAUCACAUUUUAGAGACACCUGUAGUUGAAAAGGACUUUCUUGAACAAAUUUAUGUGUUGGACCAUAAAAUAUCUUUUGUGAAAGAACAAGCCUUCAAAGAAGUUCACUCUUGCCAAGAUGUAAGAGACAUACUUGAUAAAUUGAAGUUCAAGGCAUUAUCCAAAAUUCGAGAGUACCUGUUACAAAGGAUCUACUCCUUCCGUAAACCAAUGACAAACUACCAGGUAACACAAGAUACAAUGCUAAAGUUCAAGUUUUUCUACCAGUUUUUGAUGACUCAUGAGAGAGAGGUUGCACGGGAGAUUCGAGAUGAGUACGUUGACACCAUGUCCAAGAUAUACUUUUCAUAUUUUAAGAGUUACACCACUAGACUAAUGAAAUUACAGUUUGAAGAAACCGCUGACAAGGAUGACUUAAUGGGAGUAGAAGAUACAGCAAGGAAGAGUAUCUUCUCCACCAAACCUUCGUUAAAGAACAAGGCCACUAUUUUUACUCUUGGUGAUCGUGGAAAUGUACUGACCACUGAUCUUGAAAGUCCAAUUUUGGUACCCCAUACGGCCCAAAAAAAUGAAACUAAAUACACAUUUGAGAGUCUCUUUCGUAGCCAGCAGUAUGCUUUAGUGGACAAUGCAUGCAGAGAAUAUCUAUUUCUAACAGAGUUCUUCAUGGUCAGUGGGACAGGGGCACAGGAUCUAUUUCAUGCGGUGAUAGGUAAAACUUUGACCAUGUUUAUGAAACACGUUGAUGUUUACAUACAAGAUUGUUAUGACUCCAUUGCUGUAUUCUUAUGUAUCCACAUUAUUCAUCGUUUCCAACUGCUGAUGCAUAAAAGGGCUGUACCUGCAUUGGAUAAGUACUGGGAGGCUUUACUGCAGCUCUUUUGGCCAAGGUUUGAGUACAUCUUGCAGUUAAAUAUACAGAGUGUUCGGGACUGUGACCCACAGAAAUUUGGGUCCUUCGACUUGCGGCCUCAUUAUAUAACAAGAAGAUAUGCUGAAUUUUCUGCUGCACUAGUUGGAAUAAACGAAAAUUUCCCCAGUGAACAAGUCACUCGUCUACUGGCAGCAUUACAAGGAGAAGUGGAAAACUUUAUCCUCAGAAUGGCAGCAGAGUUUCCUGGUCGCAAAGAACAGCUAGUUUUUCUCAUAAACAACUAUGACAUGAUGCUUAGCGUGCUCUUGGAGCGAACUCGUGAAGACUCUAAAGAGUCUGAAAGUUUCAAGGAACUACUGAAUGCACGAACACAUGAGUAUGUGGAAGAAAUUCUGUCUCCCCACUUUGGAGGGCUCAUAAGUUUUGUAAAGAUGUGUGAGAACUACUUAGAGAGAGGCCAGUCUGAACAUUUAAAGAAAGAAGAAAGUAAAAAAAGUACCUCAACUUGUACGUUCUUUCAACUCGGGCUGGAAAGGUUCUCUGGAUGACAUCAACAAAGACAUCAUGAAAUCCUUCACAAACUUCAAAAAUGGAACCAACAUCUUACAGGUGGCAUUAACACAACUGAUCCAGUAUUACCAUCGUUUUCAUAAAGUUCUAUCCCAGAAUCCUUUCAAGAACCUUCCCAUUCGGAGUGAACUCAUUAAUAUUCAUCACUUAAUGGUAGAGGUGAAGAAGUACAAAGCUAAUUUUUAAACCUCUAAAAGUUAUUGUAAUAUACAAGAGGAUGUAGAAAUUGUGUUCCAGUUUGAAAAUAAAGUCAUUCCACAAUA
rnacentral:misc_RNA from 1 species